rnacentral:sRNA from 1 species
CCCCCCCCCCCCCCCCCCCCAAAAAAAAAAAAAAAAAAGAUUUGCCCCAGUUUGUGUGAUUAAUUUUUCAUUUUUUAAAGAUUUUAUGACAUAGCUUUAGAACUACCAUGUGAAAUAUUGAAUUGACUUAUUUAUACAAUUCUUUAUUUUUUUCUAUUAUCAUUUGAUUUAAUUUUGAAGUUUUUUUUGUUCUCUUUCUGUGAAAAAUGCUGCAAAACUAUCAAGUGUAGGGAUGCUUGGAAUAGUUUUGUAGGACCCUUUAAAUAUCUACUUAAAAAAUUUGUAUAGGAUCAGAACAUAUACACCCUUUAUAAACAUUACCUGUUACAAUCAAUAUGACCUUGAUCCUCCCUGUGGAUGACCACCCAGAGUUUCUAUAAAGCACUUAUACAGAAAAUUUAGAAAUAUUUAAAUAUAAAAUUGAACGUUCUCCAAUGUUUUUAUAUUGUCUAUUUACAGUUUACAGAAGUAAUAAGGUACAUGUAUUCAUAUUUUCAACCAUCUAGUGAAUUAUAUUACAGUUGAUGUGAUUUUUUGUUUCCAAAGUGUAUUCAAGAAGUACCAAAUAUAAAACAUUUUUAGGUCUCUUGCCAAAAGAUGAUGUUGAAAAUGAAAUAAUGAACCUUUUGAGAUACUUUAUGAUUUUUUAAAAAUUUUCUUAUGAAGUUUUUUUGGUGAGUUUGUCAAAUAAUAUCAAUUUUUAGCUUGUUUGCAUUGGAUUGAAAAAAAGAUGUAGAAAUUCAAAUGUCUUUGCUACAAGUUUUGAAUAUAUAUGUACUCCCUAUUAAUACCACAUUCAGUGCUGAGUCUGAUAUUGUUUAAUGCGAGUUGUAAAACUAUUUGUACUAUAGUUAUUUACAUUGUAUUGUUUUGUGCAUAAUACCAUGGAUGAAAAAUGUGCAAGAACAAUUCAUGAGAAAAGUCUAAUUACUAUUCAUUUUUAUUAUAGAGGAGUAAUGAAAACAGAUUGCGAGUGUUUGUGCAAUGUGUGUCUACAUAAGGUUAUAAUGUAUCAAUUACCUUCAGGACUGAAUAUUAGCAAAAAAUGUGUGUGAAGUAUUCAAGCUUUUUUUUCUUUUGACUAAAUACAUGCAUUUUCAACACCAAAAUAGUUAUUACUAUAAGAUAUAUGAUUUAUUCAAUGACAAAUUAUAAUUUUGUUUUUGUGCAAUGCUGUAAAUAGCACCAGUUCUUCCACAGCUAAAUUCCAUUGAUUUGGAAUCUGUUCAUUGACUUUAAAUUAUUGCGUGUUUGCUGUGGUCAGUCCAGUCACCAGAGUAUGAACUAUGAUUGGACAGCUUCUGAGGAUGGCAUGUUUGUAUAUGAAUCCCUGUAAUACAUGUUUUUGAGAUGCUGCAUGAGUAGAAACAUUCUACAAUCAUGUGUAUUCAGUGUGUGUGAGUUUUCACCAGUGUAUGUACACUUUGUUCAGGUGGCAGUUGUCUGUACAGAAAUUGUUUAAGGAUGAUAGCAUUUUAUAUUUGUUGUUAGACUGAGAAUAUGUCACUGAUUGUGAGAAAUAAAUGUUGCCAAUAAAUGACUUUCUAUGC